rnacentral:lncRNA from 1 species
UUGAAUAAUAUCAAUUUUCUUUUCUCUAUCUCUCUCUCUUUUUGUUAUUCUCAAGUAAUUUACAUGAAAGAGCAGAAUAAAGAAAUAAUCUUAUGUAUCAUAUAAAUGUAUAUCAUGCAAACAAUAUUUUCAUUGUGCUCAAGGAUUCAUAACUUCUCACAAGUUAUUUUACAUCAAAAUUUUAAGCAUAUACUUGUGUAUUUCAUGGUUAUGAUAUAGGCAAAGGUGCAUUUUAAUUUGAGCAAACCAUGAAUCAAUUUCUGAAAGCAUAAGUCAAUGAAUACAUAUAUAUAGACAUGAUAUCAAGAAAUUAAUAAUUAAAGAUUUUAACCAUGCCACACAAAGAUUUAAGUUAUUGACUUUGCUCAAUUAAUUUAUGAGAGAGGUAUCUAAAAUUACCAAUCCAUUCUGCAUUCUUCAGUCAAAUACCUACUAGAUUUCUUAUGUAUGAACUUUUGGCUGAAGAAG